AAAAUUAGACCCGCAUAUACAGGGAACAGGACCAGAGGCUUUAGCCUGAUCCGCAUUUAGAAGACAUCUAAAGAUGAUUGAUGACUAGCUCAGGAUGCAUAAUUCAGUCCCUUUCUGGAGCAUCACCAGUUGCUCUUCUUGCACUCAGGUUUCCCGUAUAUGACCAUACCCUCUCAAAAUCAGCAGCUGCCAACUUUUCGGUCUUUGAUUCCGUUGCCUGAGCAUUCUUCUUCACAGCUAAUUUUUGCAUAGGUCGCCUUUUCAGGUUUUCAACCUAACGAGCUUAACAUCUACCCUGCUUUAUUAAUGUCUUAUUACCUAAAUGUAAAUUAUAAAUGUCACAUCCAUACAUUUUUUUAAUUGACGUAUCACAAUUUUAUUGGUUGGGACAAGAAAUGAGACAACAUUUUGUGAUAAGGGAAAACCCAUUAAAAAAAGAUAAAUCUUUAUUAAUGGACUUUAGACAAAUCAAAUCAUAGUAGUAAACUCACACCUCCCAGUCCUAACCCAAAACAUGGCUUUACAAUACUUACAUUGAUUUCAAUCCAUUUUUAAUUAGUUUGAGAUCAUCACUUGCAUUUAUAUUUCCAGCUCCAUUACUAAUAUUUAAUAUAAUCCUUCAACAAGAGCUUGCUCAGCAGUACAAGUUUACCAACUAAGACACCAAGUAGUUUCAAAUACUUCACACCCCAAUAGAAGUAUAGAAACAUAAAGCCUGAUGUAACUCUUCUGGGUGUUGACCAUUUGUGCAAAAGGUUUGCUUGUUGGAGAAUUGUUGCUAGUUGCUAGUUGCUAUUUUAACAUUUUUCACAUUAUUGUUUUCCGAUUAAAACAGUACAUUCUGGGACAUGGGAUUCAUUGUUAUACCUGUUUCAACCGGACAAUAUUAAUGACUGUCAUGGCAGUGAAGUAAAGGAAGGGCACAUGACUAUUGCUGAAUCAUGUAUGGGUUAUAUAGUCUAGAACUCUAUUUAGCAUUUAUAGCAGACCAUCUUAGCAACAGGACUGACCUAUAGAAAAGUGGACUUUUAUACUAGUGAGGAAACGUUUUUAACUGAUGAUCCAUUGGCAUAAUGCAUGUUUGGAAUUAUUCUACAAUUGAUUCUAAAGCCAAAAUCUCUUUUGGAGAGAAGCUUAUGUGAGUAGCUUCUGGAUUCCAAAAUUGAUUCUGAAGGAAAAAAAACUGAUCCAAACAUGCUAAUAAUCUUUCAACAUAAUCCUACUCGUGCUACCUACGAAUAUACAAAAAUUAGACCCGCAUAUACAGGGAACAGGACCAGAGGCUUUAGCCUGAUCCGCAUUUAGAAGACAUCUAAAGAUGAUUGAUGACUAGCUCAGGAUGCAUAAUUCAGUCCCUUUCUGGAGCAUCACCAGUUGCUCUUCUUGCACUCAGGUUUCCCGUAUAUGACCAUACCCUCUCAAAAUCAGCAGCUGCCAACUUUUCGGUCUUUGAUUCCGUUGCCUGAGCAUUCUUCUUCACAGCACGUGUCCUCCGCGGACUGCAAGGGCUCCCGGAAACAGGAGAGGAGGAGCAGAAUGAUG
rnacentral:lncRNA from 1 species